GGAUUAUAAUAAAUUAAAUGCCUAAACUGGCAGACUGCAAACAAUUUUGACU
rnacentral:miRNA from 1 species